AUUUAAAUAGCUUAUAUAGAGCAUAGAGUUGAAGGUUCUAAGGAAAAUUUAUUUUUUUAAAUA
rnacentral:tRNA from 1 species